AUUGAACGCUGGCGGCAGGCCUAACACAUGCAAGUCGAGCGGAGCGGCGGACGGGUGAGUAAUGCCUAGGAAUCUGCCUGGUAGUGGGGGAUAACGUCCGGAAACGGGCGCUAAUACCGCUCACUAUCAGAUGAGUCUAGGUGGGAUUAGCUAGCUGGUGGGGUAAAGGCCUACCAAGGCGACGACCCGUAACUGGUCUGAGAGGAUGAUCAGUCACACUGGAACUGAGACACGGUCCAGACUCCUACGGGAGGCAGCAGUGGGGAAUAUUGGACAAUGGGCGAAAGCCUGAUACAGCCAUGCCGCGUGUGUGAAGAAGGUCUUCGGAUUGUAAAGCACUUUAAGUUGGGAGGCGUUACCAGCAGAAUAAGCACCGGCUAACUUCGUGCCAGCAGCCGCGGUAAUAC
rnacentral:rRNA from 1 species